rnacentral:lncRNA from 1 species
GCCUUUUGGGUGAGGCAGGCGUCGAGGAUGUCCUCGGCCUCGUAGACGGCCUCCCUGAUCUGCCUCUCGAACUGUAUGAAGACCCGACCCUUCUCCCGCUUGUCGGCAUACUCCAUCAAGAAGGCGUUCAUCAGCUCCAGCUCGAUCUGCAGCUGCUUCAGCUCCUUCUCCGCCCCCGAUAUCAGAUGCAUCUGCUCCACCAGCAGCUUCUGCACGUUAUCCAGUAGGAAUGUCACUGCUGCCUCCGCCAUUUUCCCACUAUGCUAUGCUACCUUCAAUCUCAAAUUCU